rnacentral:rRNA from 1 species
GACGAACGCUGGCGGCGUGCUUAACACAUGCAAGUCGAACGGUGAAGCGCCUUCCUUUUUGGUGGGUGUGGAUGAGUGGCGAACGGGUGAGUAACACGUGAGUAACCUGCCUCCUUCUUCUGGAUAACCGCAUGAAAGUGUGGCUAAUACGGGAUAUUCUGGGUCUGUCGCAUGAUGGGUCUGGGAAAGAUAUUGUUUCGGUGGGGGAUGGGCUCGCGGCCUAUCAGCUUGUUGGUGGGGUGAUGGCCUACCAAGGCGGUGACGGGUAGCCGGCCUGAGAGGGUGGACGGUCACACUGGUACUGAGCCGCGGACCAUACUCCGGCGGGAGGCAGCAGUGGGGAAUAUUGCACAAUGGGCGCAAGCCUGAUGCAGCGACGCCGCGUGAGAGAUGGAGGCCUUCGGGUUGUGAACCUCUUUCGCCAGAGAAGCAGGCCUGCCUCGUUUGUGGGUGGGUUGACGGUAGCUGGAUAAGAAGCGCCGGCUAACUACGUG